GACGAAUGCUGGCGGCGUGCCUAAUACAUGCCAGUAGGACGCAGUUGCGAACGGGAGAGUACCGCGUAGGUAACUACCUCUUAGUGGGGGAUAACUAUUGGAAACGAUAGCUAAUACCGCAUACUAGUAGAUGGACCUGCGUUGUAUUAGCAAGUAGGUAGGGUAAUGGCCUACCUAGGCAACGAUACAUAGCCGACCUUCGAGGGGGAUUGGCCACACGUGGGCUGCGAGACUGCCCAGACUCCGUCGGGAGGCAGCAGUUGGGAAUCUUCGGCAAGUGGGGGAACCCUGACCGAGCAACGCCGCGUGAGUGAAGAAGGUUUUCGGAUCGUAAAGCUCUGUUGUUAAGGAAGCGGUACUUAACCAGAAAGGGACGGCUAACUACGUGCCAGCAGCCGCGGUAAUAC
rnacentral:rRNA from 1 species